AGAGAAAUUGCAAAGGCCUUCAUAGUUAGCCACAUAGGAAUUGGAGAAAUAUUAGAAUGCCACAUAAGACAUGGAUCAAGGAAAUUGUGCCACAUAGGAAUUAGACCAUGAGAGAGAAACUCCUAAAUAUAUAAAUAAUAGAUAGAUAAAAUGUAAAUUGGUCACUAGGCGUAAAGGAAAGAAGAGAAGAAGAAGCAUACAAUUGAAUUGAAUUGAAUACAGAAACAGAGAGAGUUUGGUGCGUAACUGGAAAUCGGAAGAUAUGG
rnacentral:lncRNA from 1 species